rnacentral:rRNA from 1 species
UACGUAGGUGGCGAGCGUUGUCCGGAAUUACUGGGCGUAAAGGGUGUGCAGGCGGAUAUUUAAGUGAGAUGUGAAAGACCCGGGCUUAACCUGGGCAGUGCAUUUCAAACUGGAUAUCUAGAGUGCAGGAGAGGAGAACGGAAUUCCUAGUGUAGCGGUGAAAUGCGUAGAGAUUAGGAAGAACACCAGUGGCGAAGGCGGUUCUCUGGACUGUAACUGACGCUGAGGCACGAAAGCGUGGGUAG